rnacentral:rRNA from 1 species
CCUACGGGAGGCAGCAGUGAGGAAUAUUGGUCAAUGGACGAGAGUCUGAACCAGCCAAGUAGCGUGAAGGAUGACUGCCCUAUGGGUUGUAAACUUCUUUUAUAUGGGAGUAAAAUGUUCCACGUGUGGGAUUUUGUAUGUACCAUAUGAAUAAGGAUCGGCUAACUCCGUGCCAGCAGCCGCGGUAAUACGGAGGAGCCGAGCGUUAUCCGGAUUUAUUGGGUUUAAAGGGAGCGUAGGUGGAUUGUUAAGUCAGUUGUGAAAGUUUGCGGCUCAACCGUAAAAUUGCAGUUGAAACUGGCAGUCUUGAGUACAGUAGAGGUGGGCGGAAGUCGUGGUGUAGCGGUGAAAUGCUUAGAUAUCACGAAGAACUCCGAUUGCGAAGGCAGUUCACUGGACUGCAACUGACACUGAGGCUCGAAAGUGUGGGUAUCAAACAGGAUUAGAUACCCGUGUAGUC